UUAACUACCUCAAAGGGGAGAUACUAUGAUCAUGAAGGUGGUUUCCCCAGGGCAAGUCUUAUCGGUUGCACUCCAGAUGUGCUGACUCCUGCAAUUUCCCCAAAUGUGGGAAAUUUGACUACAUAAUUUGUGGUAGUGUGGGACUGUGUUCACGCUCUCCCCAA
ensembl:snRNA U1 U1 spliceosomal RNA